rnacentral:rRNA from 1 species
GAUGAACGCUCGCGGCAGGCCUAAUACAUGCAAGUCGAACGAGAUUAAGAGGCUUGCUUCUUAUGAAAGUGGCGCACGGGUGCGUAACGCGCAUGCAACCUACCUUAAUCAGGGGGAUAGCCCGAAGAAAUUCGGAUUAAGACCGCAUAAAAACACAGGAUAGCAUUAUCCAAUGUUCAAAUAUUUAUAGGAUUAAGAUGGGCAUGCGUGUCAUUAGCUAGUUGGCGGGGUAACGGCCCACCAAGGCGACGAUGACUAGGGGAUCUGAGAGGAUGACCCCCCACACUGGUACUGAGACACGGACCAGACUCCUACGGGAGGCAGCAGUAAGGAAUAUUGGUCAAUGGAGGGAACUCUGAACCAGCCAUGCCGCGUGCAGGAAGACAGCCCUCUGGGUCGUAAACUGCUUUUAUUCGGGAAUAAACCUUUCUACGUGUAGGAAGCUGAAUGUACCGAAGGAAUAAGGAUCGGCUAACUCCGUG